rnacentral:rRNA from 1 species
UACGUAGGGUGCGAGCGUUGCCCGGAUUUAUUGGGCGUAAAGGGCGCGUAGGCGGCCUGGCGCGUCGGCUGUGAAAUCUCCCGGCUCAACUGGGAGGGGACGGCCGAUACGGCUGGGCUUGAGCGAGGUAGGGGAGAGUGGAAUUCCCGGUGUAGUGGUGGAAUGCGUAGAUAUCGGGAAGAACACCCGUGGCGAAGGCGGCUCUCUGGGACGGUACUGACGCUGAGACGCGAAAGCGUGGGGAGCGAACAGG